rnacentral:rRNA from 1 species
GAUGAACGCUGGCGGCGUGCCUAAUACAUGCAAGUCGAGCGAACGGAUAAGGAGCUUGCUCCUUUGAAGUUAGCGGCGGACGGGUGAGUAACACGUGGGUAACCUACCUAUAAGACUGGAAUAACUUCGGGAAACCGGAGCUAAUGCCGGAUAACAUUUGGAACUGCAUGGUUCUAAAGUAAAAGAUGGUUUUGCUAUCACUUAUAGAUGGACCCGCGCCGUAUUAGCCAGUUGGUAAGGUAACGGCUUACCAAGGCAACGAUACGUAGCCGACCUGAGAGGGUGAUCGGCCACACUGGAACUGAGACACGGUCCAGACUCCUACGGGAGGCAGCAGUAGGGAAUCUUCCGCAAUGGGCGAAAGUCUGACGGAGCAACGCCGCGUGAGUGAUGAAGGUUUUCGGAUCGUAAAACUCUGUUAUUAGGGAAGAACAAAUGUGUAAGUAACUGUGCACAUCUUGACGGUACCUAAUCAGAAAGCCACGGCUAACUACGUGCCAGCCGCCGCAGUAA